rnacentral:rRNA from 1 species
CUAUACAUGCAGUCGAGCGAGCCGAACUAAUUGAUUACCUUCGGGUAUGAAGUUAGGGAAGCAAGUGGCGGAUGGGUGAGUAACACGUGGGUAACCUACCCUAUAGUCUGGGAUACCACUUGGAAACAGGUGCUAAUACCGGAUAAAAGGAGAGAUCACAUGAUUUCUUUUUGAAAGGCGGCGUAAGCUGUCGCUAAAGGAUGGACCCGCGGUGCAUUAGCUAGUUGGUAAGGUAACGGCUUACCAAGGCAACGAUGCAUAGCCGAGUUGAGAGACUGAUCGGCCACAUUGGGACUGAGACACGGCCCAAACUCCUACGGGAGGCAGCAGUAGGGAAUCUUCCACAAUGGACGCAAGUCUGAUGGAGCAACGCCGCGUGAGUGAAGAAGGUUUUCGGAUCGUAAAGCUCUGUUGUUGGUGAAGAAAGAUAGUGAGAGUAACUGCUCAUUAUUUGCCGGUAAUCAACCAGAAAGUCACGGCUAACUACGUGCCAGCAGCCGCGGUAAUACGUAGGUGGCAAGCGUUGUCCGGAUUUAUUGGGCGUAAAGCGAGCGCAGGCGGAAAGAUAAGUCAGAUGUGAAAGCCCUCGGCUUAACCGAGGAAUAGCAUCGGAAACUGUCUUUCUUGAGUGCAGAAGAGGAGAGUGGAACUCCAUGUGUAGCGGUGGAAUGCGUAGAUAUAUGGAAGAACACCAGUGGCGAAGGCGGCUCUCUGGUCUGUAACUGACGCUGAGGCUCGAA